rnacentral:lncRNA from 1 species
UUUAGUCCGCCAUCUAAAACUUUUCAGUUCCUGCGAAAAUUUUCCGCCAUCUAUACAAUUUUUGGUGGAAAAUGGAGAUGGAUAAUAGAUGACGGUCUUUAGAUGACGGUUAUGGGGUUUUAAUGACGGUGUCCAAGAUGGCGGUCUUUAGAUGGCGGAUUUCCGCCGACGAUCACUUUAGAUAGCGGAAAUCCGCCAUCUAAAGACCGCCAUACAAGGUCUUAUUUCUUGUAGUGCUACCGCCCGCGGAACAUACACUGGAUCUAGCUGAAAUAGAGGUACAACAUGUAAAGGUACUGUUGCAGGUACAGCAGGAACUUGUGGGCGCAUUUCCGGAACACGUACCGAAAAUGGAAGUCUACGUGGUAUCUGUUUUUCUCUCCUUCCCAUUAUUCUAUAUCAAGCAAUUUAUUUAAAUUAUACAUUCAAAAUAUUAACUAAACAAUAAUUAAGUAAUGCAUUUAAAAAAAUUAGAUUAAUAAACUAAAAUGAUAAUUGAAAUAAGAAAUCAGAAAUUACAUACUUCGAAUUUUGGUGAAUAAUAUUGAAGAUCGAGUUUAGUUUAUAUCGGCUUCUUUAGCACCAACACCUGUGAGUUUGGAAUAAACUAUAUCAAAUUACAGUUUGAAUUAAUUAUUUCAAUUUAAAAAAAAAAAUUCAUGACCUAUUUGCUUUUAAUGAUAAUCGAAACACAUAUAACAUAAAAUUAAACCUGCAAAUAAACAUAUAUAUACAACAUACAAAUGAAGAUGAAUACAAACGACAAUCCUUAAAAUUUUACCAUAUAAUGGAAGCAUACUGAGAUACAAAUUUCUCGCGGAGAAAUUUAAACAGCAAAUACUAUAAAACGAGAAGUUCAUGAAAUUUAAAUUUCAAUUAGUUCUUACGAGAUCUCAUUGAGAAAAACAGAAGAAAUACAUGUGCUCAAGAGGGAAAAAUUUAUAUAGAAAGAGGGAAAGCUUCUUAUGAUAUUUCAAGAUUGGAAGAUUUUAUUUCAAAUAAAAUAAAAUCAAGGUUUAUUUUAUCUGAAUUUUGUCCUGUAGUGUAUAGUUUGUCAUCAACACGAUAUUUCCAUCUCUAAAAAAAUAUUAAUAAGAGAUUAAAUCUAGAACCGUCGAUUCAACUAACGUACUAUCAAUGAAAAAUACCUUGAUGCAAUUCAAUUGAGAUUUUUUUAUAUGAAGAUUAUACUAAUGAAAUCAAACAUUACAUGAAACAUCAUGUAUUCAUGUUUGUUUGUCAGUGGAAAUGUGAAUAAGUCUGAAUAAUGAUUAAGAAAAUAUUUAUUCGAACAUGAAACUUUAGUGAUAUCAGCAGUGUAACUGGUAACUGUACUACUUGGUAUCUACUGUGACUCAAAUGACACUAUUUUUUUCCCCUUUGAAUACUUUACAGUUUACAUUCAAAAUAUUUUCCGAAUCCCUAAUUUUUAGAGACGACUUUUUCAUAGACCAUCCCUAAUUAUUUUUCGAAUAAAAUUAUCAAGAUAUUUAGAGACGGCCUACUAAAAAGCUGUCCCUAAUUUUCAAAGGCGGAGACGGUUCACUGGAGAGCCGUCGUCAACCAUUAACGAAAAAUCAGAAUUAGAGACGGCUUUUGCAAACCGUCUCUUAGCCGUCGCUAGCAUCAUGGAAUUUCAACGAAAUCCUUCUUCAGAUUUAAAGACGGUCAGAAUCCAUCGCUAAAUCCGUCCCUACAAGUCUGUUUUCUUGUAGUGGAAGUUGACACGGGUCUCGACGAAGACUUUUAGUUUCGCUUUCGUGAGAGCCUUCCGGGGGUUUGGCAUAAAACGAACAGAACCCUCAGGGUUGUCGCGACCUCAGAGUCCCUUGAUAAAAUUUCUAAGUUCUCGUUCUCGGAUCAACCGCUCGACGUAGCCUGAGAACUAGAUGCAAUGAUCCGUUACGUGACCAUGAUCUUUGUGAAAUUUACAGUAUUUUCCACCCUUCACACAGUUACUUUUUAUUGCAAAGUCUAAGGAGCGGGGGGCUGGGAAGUCCGCUCGACUCCUUAUCUUCUUGAAUAUUUCACUCCUCCUUAUUGUCAAUGGAGUGAAGUCCUUCCAUUGCUAGGGUAGAUUCCCCCCUUUAAUAGGGUUGUGUGGUGCUUGUCCCUUCGAGGUUUGGUAUACCUUGUUGUCGUGCUUGGGCUUCCACUCUCUCCUUGAGGUUUCUGCUACUUGGUGUAGAAAUAAGAUUCUCAAUGACAUAUUUAGUUGUUAAUUAAUUUGAAAUAUAAUAAACCAUAAUUAAGAAGACAUAGAUCGAUAAAAUUGACUUGAUAUAUGAUUAAACUAAAAUGAGAUCAAUAUUAUUUCCAUCAAACAAAUCUCUACCAUUAAUCAAAUUAAUUAUUGAAGCUUGUAUUUAAUUAUGCACACCUAUUUCCUUGCGUUAACUCUUGUUUUAAGUUGAUCAAUGUCUUAAAAGUUAAUCAACAAGGUGUGAAAGCUACAACUAUUCAUUCAAGCUUCAAAUGGACCCAAUGUGUUGAAAACGUGUAAAAGUGCAAUCAUGAUAAAUUCCAAGAGCAUAUCCAACAUAUUAACUACAAAGAUCUUGGAAUCAAUGCUACACAAAAUCCUAGUUGAAGAGUUCAAAUUGGAGAAAGGCAAAAACGUGUGGAGGUUCAAUCUCCCAAAAUGAAAUCCAAUCAUGAUCUUGGAUUUAAUGUUACACAACCUCCCAAAAUGAGAUUCGAUCAUGAUCUUGGAUUUAAUGCUACACAAUCUCCCAAGAUGAAAUUCAAAUCUAAGAAAAGCUCCAAGCCACCAACGUCUACAAUAUCAAGCUCUUCUUCCUAGAAGUUUUGAAGAUGAAGAAUUUACCUCCAUGCCACUCACGUCCACUAUAAAAGAUGGUGCACACCCAAGAGCUAAAGCCAUCACUUGCCAUCUUUGCUAAAGCUCUCCUUGGAUCAAUGCUCUACUCUCAUUGUCUCUUGCUCAAACUUUAGCUCUCGUUCAAGCUUUGUGUGGGAGUUGCUCUCAAGGUUGUGUGCUCUAGUUCUUCAACUUCUUCUUCUUCUUCCCCUCUUGUAUGUUGAGAAUGUGUUAGAAGAAAAGCUCUACAUCUUGUAAGUGGUCCAAGUAUUGUGAGAGGCUUAUCUCAAUACCAACACUUGUAAGGUUCUGUGAGUUCAACCAUAAAACUCGCUGUGGUUCUAUAAAGUUUCCAGGAAACUCUUAGGUUGAAUCUGCCAUAAAUUUUCAAGGGUUUUUAAGAGUUCCUGGAUACUCUUAGAGGGUUCACAAGCGUUUAGCCUUAAAGCUUGGCAGAGGUUCUUAAGAGUUCCUGAAUACUCUUAGAGGGUUCACAAGUGUUUAGCCUUAAAGCUUGGCAGAGAUUUUUAAGAGUUCCUUAAUACUCUUAGGUGGUUCAUAAGCGUUUAGCCUUAAAGCUUGGCAGAGGUUUCGCCAUUACCUUCAGGCUAGUGAUCUCCGUGUUUCAUCGGAACUGGAUUAGCCCUUGUUUGAGUGAACCAGUAUAAAAAUCUCUGUGUCUCUUUUUAUUUCUUGCUUUUCUACUUUAAAUCUUAACAAGAUAAAAACAACUAAAAAGAGAUCUCUCAUCCAGUUACCUGAUCAUAGAUUGGGGUUGACUAUUUUCGUGCAGAUCCCUCAUCUAGUUAUCUGGUCAUUAACUGAGGUUAUUUUCAAGUAUAAAUAUAUCCAGUCACCUGGUCACGUAUACCUAUAUAUUUUAACUUAUGUUAUUCACUUGCUUAUAAGAGAACUUAGUAUUCACAUACUACAAUUAGCUUAGAAAGUUUAUUUUCAAGUUGGAAUAUAUAUCUGUUCAUUUACUAUUACACGUGUGCCUAUAUAACUUAGUAUUCAUACACUACAAUUGUAUAGAAGUCACUUUCAUAUAAGUGGACUCAGUAUCUAUAUACUGCAGUAAACUUAAAAAGAACAGACAGCUUGUAUACAUAUCCUUGCGUUUAACUUGUAUUAUCAGGUAUUCCACACAUUGUCUGAGAAAUCACGAGAAGAGGCUAUUACUCCCCUCCUUUAAGCCUCUGAUCCAGAUCCAACAAGUGGUAUCAGAGCCAAGUAGGUUAUUUACAGCUUCACAUCUGUUUCUAACAUGGCACAGGAAGAACAAGGAUAUCAGGGUUUCGCAUCAAACGAACCUCCUAUCUUCGAUGGAACCAGGUAUAAAUUUUGGAAGAAGAAAAUGAGAAUACAUCUGAUGUGACUACACAGUGAGAUAUGGAAGGUCACUCAUGAAGAAUAUGAGCCUCCAACUACAAAAGAAAUCGAAUGGACUAUUCUGGACAAACAAAGAUGCAGGUUCAACGCUAGAGCAAUGAAUGCACUUUAUGGAGCAUUAGUUAAAUCUGAGUACAGUUCCAUCCGAAAGUUCGACACAGCUCACGAUAUUUGGAAGCAGUUGAAAGCAAUUCAUGAAGGCACAUCUCAUGUGAAGGAGAACAAGCUUCUACAUAUUCAUAGAGAAUAUGAAAACUUCACCAUGAAGGAAGGAGAAACUAUCGCUGAAAUGAACAAAAGAUUCAUCAACAUCAUCAAUGAUCUAGCUGGUCUAGGGAAGCCCAUCAGCGAAAAGAAUCAAACUGGGAAAAUCCUAAGAAGUCUUCCUGACAAGUAUGAUUCAAAAAGAGAUGCCAUCCAAGAAGCUCUUGAUUUGAAUAGUCUUCAUGUAGUGGAGCUAGUUGGAAAUCUCAUGGCAUACGAACAGAUGAAGUUCACAUCCAAGGAGAAGCAAACAGAAUAAAAGAAAAGUCGGCCCACCAAGUUACUUUAGAAAACAACAUUCAGUCUGAUAAAGAUGAGCUUGCAUUGAUUACUGCCAAACUAUAUAAGUUAAUCAAGAAGAGAAAAAAAUCUAAAGCAAGCAGCUCACACUACAAGUCACACAGGCCAGACCAAUUCAAACAAAAAGAAGCAGAAAGACAAAAGGAAGUAAUCUGCUACAGAUGUAACAAGACUGGACACACAAGACCUAACUGCCCAAAGUCCAGGGAUACUGCUCAUCAAGUUAGUUGGCCUGACACUGAUGAAGACUCUGAAGUUGAGGGAUGUCUGAUGGCCAACGACUCAGACACCUAGGUAAGUUUUUAUAAUUAUCAAAAAUUAGAGAUAUCUUAUCUUGAGCUAGUAUCUAGGUAUGAAUCUGAAAAGAAACUAGCUAAGUUAUUAGAAGAAAAAUGCAUGCAAAACACUAAUGAUAACCAUGAACUAGAAAAACUUAGGAUUGAAAAUAUUGCUCUAACCAACAAACUGAAGUCUCAAGAAAAAGUGGCAGAACAGCUAAUAGAGCAAAAUUUAAUUCUUUUAGAUCAUACUAAAACAAAAGAAGAACCUAUCAUCAUACACAUAGAAGAAAUUUAAAAAACAGAAAUUAAAUUAGAUACAAAGAAAAAAACAAUUAAAACCCUUAAAGAGCAAAACCCUAUAGACCUAACAGAACAAGUGGAAGAAUUCUUCUCCACACAUUUAGAAGAUUUAGAAAGGCUAAAAGAAAUAAAUCUAGAUCUAGAAACAAAACUAGAAUCAUUGAAAGAGAAAUUAGCCAAACAAGAUGAAAUGAUUCUAGAAUAUAAAAACAAAGAUAAAUGUCAAACACUCGAAAAAGAAGAUCUACUAGUAGACAUAAAUUCACAAGCAUCUCAUAUAGUAACAUUAGAAAGAAAAAUAUUUGAAUCGCCAAUGGUGGCUCCGGGAGUCUCUGAAGACCUCCUUCGAUUCGGUCUCCGAAGAAGAAAUCACUACAAGAAAACAGGGAAACAACCACGGCCAAGUUCACUGGCUAAAUGGCAAAAUCCGUGGCUGUAGGUCUGGUCACAGGAGGUGCCGUGGCUGUAGGUCUGGUGGCUACUGAUUUUUGGCCACGGAAAUGGUUUUCCGUAGCUAAAUAUUAGCCACGGCUAUAUUCCGUGGCUAAUGUUGGUAAUCGGUGGUCGGGUCAAAUUUUUUAAAAAAUUAGCCACGGCGUAAUUCAGUGGCUAAUUUUAUUUUGCCGUGGCUAAAUUUUUUGAGUGAUGAAGGGCCACGGCUAAAAUCCGUGGCUAAUCUUUUAUUGGCCGUGGCUAAAUCCUUGAAACAAAGGGCCACGGUCAAAUUCCGUGGCUAAUUUCUAAAAAAAUUAUGGGAAAUAUUUACAUUUUAGAAGAUACCUAUUGAAGCUCUUACACAUUCAUAUAACCUGAAAAAAUCAAUCAAACAUAUAUUUACAAUCAUAUUCCAUUCAUACACAUUCCAUUCAUACACAUUCCAUUCAUACACAAAUAUCCCUCAAAAUUAUCCAAAACAUUCAACCAAUCAUUCCAAAAUAUACCAUUCAAUUCCAUACCUAUUGUCAUUCCAAAACAUACCAUUCCAUUCCAAAACAUAUCAUUCAAUAACCAAGAAAACAUACAAUUCCAUUCCAAAAUAUACCAUUCAAUAACCAACAAAACAUACAAUUCAUGUUAUUCAAAAUUAAACCAAAAGAUAAAAGAAGAGGAACCUAUUUGUUGGUGUCGGUCACGCUAUUCGUCGGACUUUUAGUCGCACUUUUUCCAACAUUUUCGACAUUUGAAUCUCUUGUAAUAGGCGUGAUUAUGUUAUCGUGUCCUUGGCUCGACUGACCUUAAUGUAAAAAAAAAUUGAAAUUACAAAGAAAAUAUGAAUAUUGAUUUAUAUAUAAAUGCUAAUUACCUCAAUCGUCUCUCGACGUAAGUCUUCCCUUAGUUCCUUUAGUAUAUCCUGCAUCUGUUUUCUAAUGGCCUCUUGAACUGCCCGAUCGAAGUCUUCUUUACUUUUUUGUUGUUGAAUUUCUAUAAAAUUUGUCGUUGUGUUCUUUGAAGUCGCCAUAUUAUCAGGAAUUGGUAAUGGCAUUGGAUCACUUGCUCUGGUUCCAAGCACACGACCUUUCUUUUUUCCCUCAGUAGCUUUGACCCAUAAUUCUAAAUUAUCAGGGAGUGUGUGUGAUCUUUUUGAUAAGUUGAUCUCAGAAUUUUCGGCUUCCAUAACAUUUCUUUGAAGCUCAUCAUACUCAGCCUAAAAAAAUGAAAAUCAAUAAUAAAUAAAAAAUAUGACUUAAAUAUCUUAAAACGAAGCGUUUCUAACGAAGUUUCUUACAAUGAAGCAUCCUCCCUUUUGAUGAGUCCAGUCGUUUGUCUUAGCCAGACUAUGUGUUUUCUUAUAAACCUCACAGUGACCGACUUCAUGACCAGCUUCUUCAUUCUGAUUGUGUCAUACACAAAAAAAUUAGAAUGAUAAACGUAAAAUAUAUAAAAGAAAUGUUUUUUACCAUUCUUUCAUGAGUGGCCGCAACUGGACAAGAUCCACCCGUGUAUGGCAUGUAAUCUGGAUUGUUUGUCCUAUUUUCUGAUGCUUUUUCGGAUCUUUUUUUAUCAAUCUUCUUUUAACCAAAUUUCUAUCAUUUCACUCCAUACUUCCGCAAAAAGGUAUAUCGGUGGAAAUCUAGCGCAAGAUCUGGUGAGUUUGUCAACUUUGGCCAAUUUCUUUGUCUCUUGUCUCACUUUAUACAACCAACAUGUAUAAUUUAGUUGUACAUAGUUAUCAAAACAUUCACGAGCCAAUGGAAUGUCCUCAAAUGAGAAAUAACACUACAUACAGACAAAAAAAUUACAUAUGGAAAAAAAUGACAUGGAAAAAAUGACAAAUAAAUAAAUAAGUCAUACAGUUCUUUUUUUCUUGAGCUAUCGAUUUCACCAUGUUGAUGCCAAAUAGAAUAAUCAGCCAUGAACCCGUUUUUGUAAAGGUGAAUACCCACUUCAUCUAUCGAAAAAUAAAAUGAACAACAACAAGUAAAGCAAGGGCACUUUAUUCUUUCAUAUCCGAGUGUUUCUCUUGCAAAUUUCAAGAAAUGAGGGACGCCAUUGCCAAAUUCCACCGUUAGAUGACCCUUUGAAUCUUGCCGGUUAUACAUCCAAGUUCGAUCAUCAUCGGUCAUUCUAGGAAUUUUAAACCAAUACAAUUAGUUUUUAAAAUUAAUAUACGAUCCAGUAUAUUAUUAGAUAUUGUAUUUUCAUUCUACCUAAUUUAUAUAUUAAUGGGAAAUAGAGUGAGACAAACAGAAAGUAUAAACAUGUUAUUGGAUUAUAAGGAAAAAAUUCUUAUAAUUUUAAUACCGAGAGGGGUAUGAUUUUAGUUAAUCAUAAGGAAAAAAUCCUUAUAAAAUCCAUCCCUAAUUUCAGUUAAUUUAAUAUCUGUAUUUUUAUUGUUUAAAGUUUAAACUCUUGAUUCCACUUCAAGCAUUGCCUAUUUAACUUAAUCUUUAUUUUUAAAUUUAGACUAAUGUUUUUUAGACUAAUGUUUUUUUAGACUAAUUUUCUGAACUAAAUGUAUUUUAGACUAAUUUUCUGAACUAAUGUAUUUUAGAUUAAUGUUUUUUUCUGAACUUAACUAAUGUUUGAAAUCCAACCAAUAUUGAAAAUCCAAAUAUGAAAUCAGGCAGUGGAAGGCUAACAAUAACUAAUGUUCUAUUGCUUACAAUACUCUUUUUUUUUGGUAAAAAAUGAGUAGUUUGGUUAGAUAAGGAUGAAGGAUUAUGGGAAUGAGUUGUUCUGCCAUAAUUGAAUAACACCUUCAUAAGUUGUUCAAUCAAUGAAGUAAAUAACCAUUUCCACUGGAAUUUGGCUGUCUUUUUUUUAUAAUCAAUCUCUAUAUUUGGGGAAAAUAUGGCAGACAUGUAUUUGGGGAAAAUUUGCCGAAAGAAAUCUCCAUUAAAACUUCCCUCAAUUACAACAUGUAUUGGGGAAAAUAGGUGAGAUUUUAAUUUAGGAAAAUGGAAAACUCAAAGAAAUUUGAAAUGGAAAAACAGUGAAAUGAAAAAUCUAAAUCGAUAUUGAUUAAACAAUGACAAAGAUGGGUUGUGGAGUCUAACCUGAGUUUGAAAGUCGACGUUCGCCGGAUGGAAGCCUCACCUUGCCGGAUUGAACUGGAGGUGCAGCCACAAGUCGACGCCGCUCGCCGGAUGGAAAUCUCGACCUUGAUGGACUCGACUAGAGGUGCUCUACGUUCGCCGCUCACCGGAAGUUGGAAUCACCGCUCGUCAAAGGAAAAAUAGUUGGAAUCGGGAGUGGACUUUUAGGUUUUGGGAGUUGGAAACACGAUUUGGGUUUUGGGUUUAAUUUUAAGGUUUUGGGUAUAUUUACAAUUUGGGGUUUUUAUAUUUUUAAUUUUAAAUAUGGGGAAACACGAUUUGGGGAAACACUAAUUUAAAAUAACUUAGUUUAUAACUUUUCAAAUAAAGUUAGUUUAUAACUUUUUUAGUUUAUAACCAUUUAAAAUAAAGUUAAUUUAUAAUUGAAUUUUCAAAUUUAAAAUUUAUUAAAAUUUAAAAGUUAAUAUUAGAAAUUGAUAUUUUUUAUAAUUUUUAAAAAAUCACUAGUUGUUAAUUUUUAACUUUUUAGGAUUUAUAAUUUAAAAUAACUUUUAUAAUUGAAUUGAUAACUUCAAAUAACUUUUUUUAACUUAAUUUUUCACUUUAAAAUUUAAAAUAUCUAAAAUAACUUUAACUUAUAACUUCUAUUUUUUUUAAUUUAAAAUAAACUUAUUUUAUAACUUUUAAAAUAUUUAAUUUAUUAUAUUGAAUUUUAGAAUUUAAAAUUUAUUAAAUUAGACUAACCCUGACCUACUAAGUUCAUAUUAGAAAUUGUUAUUUUUUUUUUUUAAAAUUAUAUUUUUUUUAAUAUACACAAAUAUAUAUUUGCGCUAGUGUCCCUGAUAGAUAUAUAUUUUGAUAUACACAAAUAUUUAUAUAAUUGUUUGAAAGUAAAAUGAAUGUCCUUGAAUGAAUAUGCGAUGAUAUGAAUAGAAAAUAGCUAAUGCUAAUGAUAUAUAGUAAAUGAUACUUGAUCGUUUGGCAUCAAAUGAAUACCAAACAAUAUCAUUAUUCCAGUAUCUAUCCUAUUACAAAUGUUUCCCCCCUCUCUAUGUUCAACACCCAUGGGUAUUUAUACACUUUCUUACUGGACUGGACCUUCUCUCUUUUCUUUGGACUCAGCCCGACCUGGCCAGGUCUGGCUUGUCAGGCCAAGUGGGCCUGGUCGGGGAUGGGUCUGGUCUGAUGGACCAAGGGUAUCAUCAGUACUCCCCCUUCCGCAACCUAUAAAUCCUCCUUUUCUUUACUUUUCUUGACCUUUUCUGAACUCAUUUUGUCUUUGCUCUCUGUGUUGGAGGAGCUUGGCUAGUGCACCAGCAAGCUGCUUGGUCCGAAAGUCUUAUUCUCCACAAGGAAGAAGCUCGCGCCCUUGCUGCUACUGAGAGCCACUGCCUUAACACUUUGCUUAUAGUUGUUCAACAUCGCCUUUUUGUUCUUCGUCAAGUUGAAAAUGAUGUUGUUGUGGCUGAGUCCCACGUCGCUCCUGGUGAUAUCCUUGUAACUCUUGCCGUUGAUCCUGUCUCUGAUGACCGCUCUGUUGUUCCUUCUAUUGUUCGACGCCGCCGAGGACGCAGACAGUGUGCUGGUUGUGCGUUCCCUGACCUUCCCCCGACUGACCUUCGUUACUUUCUCACGUGCGGGCUGAUCUAAUGAGCGUCAUUGAUUAUCCCCCUCACAGGACCUUUAUGCCUUUAGUGUUUUUAUUUGACUUGUAAUUGAAUACUGUUUUUGUUUUCCUGCAAAUUUUUUCGUGAAUUCUCUUGUGGGCGAGAUAGCUUUUUUCCUGCAGCUUUUAAUAUUUCCUUUCUUUUCUUGAUUUUUUUCAUAAGCAUCCUUUCUAUAUGCCGUUCGACUGUUGCUCAUUUCUAUCACCGAUCAACUCUUCAACAGGUUUAUAAACAAUGACGUCCGGACCAUUUCGGCCGGCUGGAUGUAUAAUGCCAUCUGGCAUUUAUUAUCUUCCUUUGUUUCCACUUCCUUUUAUGUUCUUGCGGCCUAGAUGCCCGUCUGCUUAACCUUGAAUUUUUUCCUCCCUUUUUUUUAGUCGUUCGUCCGGUAUGGAUGUCCCACUCGGAUGUUCGUCCAUCCGGUCUGGUGUCCGUCCGCCUGGCCUGGUGUUCGUCCGUACGAACUGGUGUACGUCCGUGGAACACCCUUGGGCUAGGAAAUGUCUGUGUGGCUUUCGUGGUCCAUCCUUAGACUGGAUAAUGUCCGUGUGGCUACUCUUUGGCUCUCGGGUCUUACCCGUGCGGCUUUUAUUCACCAAUUUCUGCUUUCAAGUUUGCAGGUUGCAUGACUUUUUUAAUUGUUCUUUAGACCUCUCCGGAGUAUGGUUUUCUCGAGUGACAGGCGGAGGUUGAUCUUCAUGGUUCGCCCUCGGUACAGUAGUGAUUCCCAAAUUUUCGUCCACAUGAACUACAUGCUCUGGCUGCUCUGGAUCCAUUUCACGUCAGGUUCACCACUGAUCGUUUGGUAUCAAGUGAAUACCAGAAAAUCUCUUUAUUCCAGUAUCUAUCCUAUUACAAAUAUUUUCCCCCUCUCUACAUUCAAUCCUAUGGGUAUUUAUACACUUUCUUACUGAGCUGGACCUUCUCUCUUCUCUUUGGACUUGACCCGAUCGACCCGACGGGGUAAACAGGUUUGCACAAGCUUGUCAGGCCAAGUGGGCCUGCUGGACCUGGUCGGGGAUGAGCCUGGUGUGAUGGACCAGGGAUAUCAUCAAUACUGUUGGAUGAUCGAUUAAUCAGGAGUGAUGAAGCGAUGAUCCAAAGCUUGUGAAGAUGAUUGUGAAGAAGAUCGUUGCAAUGAAUAAUUAAUUCAGUUGAGAUGCUUGCGAAAGCGAUGAGAGACUUGGUGAUAUUGGGAGAGGCGAGCAAUGAGACUGUGUGUGUAUGAAUUAUGAAGUGUAAAGACGUAAAAACUAAUGAAGGUUUUUUAGAUGUGUUUAAAUAACUAAAACACCCAACAGCUAUGUUGGUGGGGUGUGUUUAAUUAUGAUAAUAAAUGAUUAUGGGAAUAUAUGAGAUAUGGAAAUAUUAAUAAAGGAAUGUGAAGAAUUAUAAUGAAAUGAAAGGCGGUGAGUGCAAUGUUUAUCAUAAGGGCAUAUAUGAGAUAUUUAUUUUGGGGGUAUAUCUCUAAUAUCCUCCCUCAGAUCAUAACCGGUUAGGACUUGAUUUGAAUAUAUGAGUGCAAUAGGAUGUUUGGGUGAAUUAAUUGGGUUUGAAUUUUGGUUGUGUAUAUCAAUGAGUUACAAUUUUUGAAUGAGGUGUCUAAAUGUUGGACCACCUAGGGGUUUAGUGAAAAAAUCACCAAUAUUUUGUGAAUUGGGGAUGUGUCUUAGUGUAAUAUCUCCUGCUAAAACCUUGUCUCUCACCGUGUCGAGAUCGAUUUCUAUAUGUUUUGUACAUUGAUGUGAGAUAGGGUUUCGUGCAAUCGCCUCUACUGUUGUGCUGUCGGUGAAUAUACGUGGAGCCAGUGAUCGUCUGAUCUGGUAAACUCCUACCUCUUGUAACAACAUUGCUAGCCAAGUUAUUUCACAUGUAGUGUAUGAUAAUGCUCGGUAUUCGGCUUCCCCCGAAGCCUCUAUGUAUAAGUACAGAUCCUUCCCAUCCUUGGGUGAUGUCAGCAUUGGAAGAGAUGACAUGUGUGCUUUUAGUUUAGUAAAUGCGUCUUCGCAUUCCGGUGUUCAAGUGAUACUACCCUUAGCCGCAGUUUUCAGUAACUGAAAGAACGGUUUACACUUGUCAGCCGUUUGCGAUAUGAAACGACUGAGUGCAUUGAUUCGACCGUUCAGCCUUUGAACUUCUCUGAUUGUGCGGGGGGCUUCCAUAUCGAGAAUCGCUUGGAUUUUGUCGGGAUUAGGUUUGAUCCCAUGCUGACCUACAUAGAAACCAAGGAACUUGCCUUCCUUGAUCCCAAAUGCACACUUAGCUAUAGCUAUUCUUGGGAUUAGGUCGUUCACUUCUGUCAUCAUGGAAGUGAAUUUGAUGGUGUAAUCCCUGAGGGAAAUAUCCUCCUACCGCAAUGCCAGUAGUGCAUUGGCAAUGUGCUUUAUCAUGAUCAUCCCCACGUGUUGGGUGAUGAACUUCAGAGAGAGGUCCGCGAAGCUGGUGACUGAGCCAGCUGGCAGACCGGAAAACCACCGAUAAGUGCUUCCCUUGAGAGUGUCCGGGAAUGCCCGGCACAACAGCUCGUCAUCGGUGGCCUGGGGUUCCAAGAUGUUGAGGUAGAGGUUGAUGUGAUCCUGCGGAUUAGUUGAACCAUCAUAUGCCUCGAUCCUGGGCACCCGCCAAGUUGGUGGAAAGGCUUGUUUCAAAAGGUCCUCAUGGAAAGGAGCACUUUUGAUCCUUAAGAACUCGUUCGGGCUGCCGACGAGUGGACCUUCGGCCAGUUUCCGACGAAGAUCUUCCACGAAUCGUGUUUUAAAAGUCCUUUGAGUGCGAUUUUUACUAGGUCCUGCCUUUGACCUAUAGUGGGAACUUUGUUUUAUUUUCUCCGCAGAUGGAGAAUAGUAUGAUCCAUAUUCUCCCGUCCCAUCUCGGGUGGUGGCCCUUCGACUCCUCGCAGCCUUGAGGUUGUUCAUUCUUCUCUCCAUGUUAUCCAUGAAAUCCAUCAACCUCUCUUCUAGAGUAGGAGGAGGAGUCGGUACCAUUUGCUCCCCAUCUUGUUGAGGAGCUGAAUUUGUCUGGGAGGGCUGGUCAGGCUGAGCUCCAUUCCCUACAGGCCUGUUUGGCCGAGAAGGCUCAGCCUGAUCCUCCUCAGGUAUCUGUGGCAUUUUAUCCGGGUUCUUCUUACUCGCUCUCGUGGAGUAAGGAUGCUUUUGUUUUUCGUGGGCCAUUGGCAACAAAAGCGAAGUAGUUUUCAAAGCAAAAAGACUUGACCGCACUUGUUCAAAAAAGCUAAGUUAAUCGACAAUUCCCUAGGUAGAAUCGGCGAUUGGACUUAUGGGGAUUUUUUGAACCAAGUCGUGGAUAACACUCUUAGCUAGCAGACGAUUCCCUGAUUCGUCGAUUCCCAGAGAAGUUGGUGAUUUCUAUGGUAGAAAUCCAACCAAAGCAUCGGAUGGAAAUAGGCGAUUCCUGAUCUGAAUCGACGAUUCCUUACAAUAAAGUCAGCGAUCUCUCUAGGGGAGAUCGAGCCGGACUUUGCAAAGAAAAUUUCUCGAUUACGACGGGAUAUCGGUGGUUCGAUAUUCCCACAGACGGGGUCAUCUGAUGAAGCACGGAAUCUGCUAUUAGGGGCUCGCAGAGGUGCGAGGUGAUGCUCCAGGCUUUGGGAUCCACGACGCGCGCUCUACGUCAAAUCUUGUAGGAGUGGAGUAGGCGACUCAGGUGUGGGAGUCGGCGAUUCCUCUCCGAAUGUGCUCUGGUUGGAAUGGAACUUGUAAUCUACCUUGAACCCCUUUUAUAGGGUCCUCAGGGGCAUGGUUCGCGGCGGGCAUCACGCCCGGCCAUAAUGGCAUUGGUUAAUGAUGCCAUAAUGGCGCGGGCCAGCAACAAGUAACGCUCGUGACGGUGACUCAGGUAGGGAGUCGGCGAUCCAGGGGUGGAGUCGGUGAGUCACAUAGGACGAGGUCGGAAGCCUACCAAUGCUGACUAACUCGGUCUUGACUCGGUCGAUUCACCACUGGAAUCGGCGACUUGGUAGCCCAGUCGGCGACUCAUGGGGUUAACUUGAGGACUUGACGACGACUUUUGUUCCGCAACUAUAUCAACGGAACCCUAGUCCUUAUUGAAGGACGUUGCUGGGAGUGACUGACGUAAUCAGGCAUGUCUCACCAAUACUCCCCCCUGAAGAGAGCACAAGAAACAUGCGUGUAUCGCCACAUGCUGAAAUAGUUUUUAUCAUAAAAUCACGACAUAUCCUCUUAAUAGAAAUUAUGUUUUUGGUUAUUUGAGAUAUACACUGUGAAGACAGUUGUUAGUUAUUAGUAACAGUUGUUACAGUAAUGGUUAAUAGUUAGUAACAAUUAUUAAUUAAUCUAUUAACUAUAAAACAGUUAAUAGGUUAAUACCUAUAUAAAUACAAACGUAUUGUAAUAGUUUGAUGAUUUAAUUUCAUUGUAAACAGUUUUUGUGUAUAACUUCAUAUUGUAAUCUUCAGUUGAGUUUGCUACACAUGGUAUCCGUUGAGAAGGAAGGAGACUCACAAAUCGUCGCUGCAGAGAAGGUUACAGUGACUGCAAGUUUUGUACUAUCCUCAAAGACAAUGGUGAAUGUUGCACACUGGAUACGCACACCAUUGGAGAAGAGCGACACUUAUUUAUUUUGGAGGGCACAGUUGGAGAAUCUACUCCCUAUGAUUAAGCUCACAGACAUUGUAAGUGAUUCAUUUGUGGUUCCACAAGAAAAGCUGGAAGAUAGAUCUUCUAAUCCACUUUUCGAAGAAUAUAUGGAGAAAAAUUAGGUCGUCUUGUGAUGGAUUCAGGUCUCGGUGGGGGCUCCGUUAUUUUCUUUGGUUAUGAAUUAUACGUCUGCCAAAGAUUGUUGGAAAGCGCUGGAAUUAAAUCUUUCUCCAAGGAAGAUGAUCAACACACAAGGGAUCCAUGAUGAUCUUCGAAAUCUGAAGAAGUUGGACACGGAAACGAUGAAUGAAUACCUAAUCAAGGUUAGGACACUUUCUGAUGCAUUGAAGAUGUCCGGAGAGGUUGUGCGAGAUAUUGAUCUCAUUGAUUAUGCUGCGGAUGGAAUCGGGACGGAGUAUAGGCCGUUCAUAUCAUCUGUACAUACACAUCUAAAGAUGACAUUUGAUGAAUUCUUCCAUCUACUAGUUUGGGAGGAACGAUUUCAGAAAAGGCAAGGGUGUUUAUCAAAUAACACCAAUAACUUAAACCCAUAUGUGUUUGUUGCUAAUAGAAAUUGGGGAAAUCGUNNNNNNNNNNNNNNNNNNNNNNNNNNNNNNNNNNNNNNNNNNNNNNNNNNNNNNNNNNNNNNNNNNNNNNNNNNNNNNNNNNNNNNNNNNNNNNNNNNNNAUUACCCUCGGAAAAACCUAUAAAUACGUUCGAAGCUCCAAUAUAUAGGGUAUCAGUUUCUUUCCAUUCAGAUGAGUAGAGCGGGCUUCAGUUGUCGAAGAGCUUCCAGUUUUCGACCCACAAGCCAACCACACACACAUGUACACAAGAGGAUUAGUCGACUCCUCAUUUAUUCUAGUAGACUUGUGAUCCAGUCGCCUACAACUUAAAAAAGCACUGAAGACGUUUGACCCCACCAUAAAUAAGAAGUCCACCAUAGGGUUAUGAAUGGAACUUCCCACUCUUUUAAUAGGGAAGGAAUUAUAAAAACUUCUCCUACAACCGUAAAUCCACAGUCAAAAGUUGAACAUUGGUGUCUCUCUUCAAGUGACCAAUGAUUCUAGAUAAUGUCUAGGUACUCGACAUGAUGCUCUGGCCUGCCCUGUUAAGAAAUCCCAUCGAAAUCCACGGUGAAUUCCGAGCAAUGGAUGUUAUGCUCCAGCCUAUUAGUUCCUAUUGGAGGAAGCCCAGGUAGUCAGUGCGACACUCCGGCCCGCCGACUAUAAAGAAAUAUUCCCCUUAAAAUUUGAGGGUGAAAUCCAAACAACUAAUAUGAUGUUUCGGCCUAUCAAUUCCUGUGAAAGAAUCCUAGGUAGUCGGUUGGACGUUGUGGUCCACCGACUAUAAAAUAACAAUACGUUAAAAAAAACAUCCUUGACGACGCUCAAGGUAGUCGGUGUGACGUUUCGGCCUACCGACUAUAAAGAAACCAUACGAACAGACGAUCUGUCACUUCGGCCACCUGAUAGGGAUAUAAGACUGACAUUAAUGUAUGAGUUGGCGUCCCACGGGGAGGGAGUAAGAACCACCCGCACCAUUAAGAAAUAAGUCUAUCAUAUGAUUUAUUCGUCUGAGCAUUGUCUUCAUACUUUCGACUCGUCAACCCGGCAAAAAAAGGAGGACAGACACACAAUACAAACCAAUUUGUUAAAAGCCAUAAAGAGGGUAGUCAUCGUGACAUUUUAGCAUAUUGACUAUAACGAAGAUGUUCAUGUUGUCGACUCGCCAACCCAACGGAAAAAGAGAGGAGUGACAAAAAACGUACAUAUUGAUGAGGGUGAAACCUGAUCAGUACUCUGAAACCAUUUCGAACAAGCGCACUGUAAGAAACUCCAAUCGGAAUCAUGCUCGAACUAUUCAAAUGCUCUAGUACUCUCGUUCUUUCGGAAAUGAAAAGUACCUAAAUGAAUGGAAUGAUCCUGAACUUUUGGCCUGUAACUGCCUAACAACUUGAGUUUGCCUGGGGUCGACUUUGUCAAAGUUGACCUGCUUUGACCAGAUUAUGAAAGUCCCUCUACUUUCUAUACAGGUUGUUUCCUCUUCAUUGUGUUAUCUUUCUAGGUUCUCCCCACUUUUGGUAGACAAUACUGUUGGCAAUGUCGCCAGUAUUAUUUUCCCCAAACGGUCAGAAAACAAUACAUACUAGCGGCAUUGUCGCCAGUAUUAUGUUUAUGAAAUUUUUGAAAACCUUACAAAUUAAGUGUCGCCUUCUUCAUUUUUCGUCCUUUAAAUCUAAUUAAAUUUUCAAUCUUUUAUUAGUUGAAACAUUUUUUAUAAAAUCGACCAAUCAUUUGUUAUUCGAUAUGUCUUUUAAAAAAAAUUGUUGAAGAGAGAGAAAUAUUAUAGUGUCAGUAUCUAUUAAAUUCUUUUUCCAAAACAAAAUAUCUAUUAAAUUCUUUUCCAUAUAUACUUUAAAAUUUUAUUCAAACAAGUGUUUUUCUAAAUAUGAAAAAUCGCUCUUUGGUCAAAAAUGGUUUCCGGGUCCAUAUCAGUUAAAAAGGGUUCUUAUGAGAACCCUUCAUCAUCUCGUCUGUCCGUUUUAAGGAGCAUUCUGGACCCUUGAUUUUUUUUGCUACCAACCUGCUGAAUAAGUUAUCGGUUACAUGUAACCUGUAGGAAAAAAAAUAACAAAGAAAUCGACUGACAUGGAAGGUACUAGGAUCGUACUAGCUAUGAAGUAGCUUAUUAGUAGGUACUCGGUAGUCUAUGAGAUAUAGGGGAAAUAUUUUUUUGAAAUCCAAAACCCCUAAACCCAUCGUCUCUACCACUACAAGAAAAGAGGUCUACAACGACGAUUUUAGCGACGAUUUUGAAAAAACGCACGAUGUUAGCGACGAUAUGAAUAUAUCAUCGCUAAAUAUCUUUUUUUUUCUUUAAAUAGCGACGAUAUUUUGAUAAUCGUCGUUAAAUGUAACAAGGGGCGACGAUUUAAAUGUUAUCGUCGUUAAUAAUGAGGACCAAUUUAUAAAAUUUGAAAAAAAUAAUCCCUAAAAUAUAAAAUUCCCUUUAUAAAUUUAAGUUUAAUUACAUAUAAACUAUAAUUUAAUUACAUUUCUAACCCUAAAUCUCUCCCCCAAAUUCAUCUAAUUCCCUAAGCCUCUCCCACAAACCCAAAACCCACGAUUUCUUCCCCAAAACCCACGAUUUCUCCUAAAAUCUCUCCAAAUCACCGGCGAGUUCUUCUCCAAAUCACCGUCGGCGACUUCUCUUCAGCUUUUCCGCCGGUUUGCGUAUCGAUCUACUGCCUUUGUUGAGACCGCCGGUUUUUGCAUCUCUUCAUCUCCACGUUCAUCUACUGCCGGCGAUUCAUCUCCACGUUCAUCUCUACGUUCAUCCACAUCUCUUCAUCUCCACAUCGGAAUUGGUAUUUCUAUUUCUUCUAUUUCUAUUUCUUCUAUUGGUAUAUUUCUAUUUCUUCUAUUUCUAUCUCCAAAUCGAAAUAUUGUUAAUUUAGUUUCUGUUUUUGAAAUCUCCAUUCAAUUUUUUGUCUUUUGGCCAGUUUUGGGUUUCUUUAUGUUUGUUUAUUACUAUAUUUCACACAUCCAAAUUGUCCAUCCAAAUUGUCCAUCUCUUCAAUUUUGGGUAUAUGUCUUUUGGCCAUCCAAAUUGCCUCCUUUUGUUUGUGUGGUUUAUGCAUUGGUUCCAAACUUUAAGUAGGCAAAAAAGCACUGCUAGUCUGCUAUUAUUCUCUAUGUAAAAAAUUAAAAAUCACCUUCUGUCUAUUGGGAGAUAUUUAAUCAUAAACAAACAUCAAUGCACAAUCUGAUCAUCUUAUUUUAAAUAUUUCAUAUUAAAUUGUAAAAAUGUUCUAAGACAUACUGCGACUUUUGGAAUAAAUAAGAUUUGGGUAAAGAUCUAUUUAGAUGGUCUCACAAUAUAUCUAUUUUGCUUAUGUUAGUGUAUUAAUAAAUUUUUUUCUUUUCAGAUUUUGUUUGUCUUCUUGUUUUCAGAUUUUAUCUCUACAUUCCCAAAUUUCCGCCGGACUGCAUAUCUUCAUCUCCUCAUCUCCUGUCGGCGACUUUCAUAGAUAUUUUUAUUUCUUUUUUAAAAAUCCAAAUAAAUUUGAUGUGAAUGUAAUAAAUAAAAUGCAACCCAUGAAUCCCCAUGAAAAUCUUUUAAAAAUGCAACCCAUGUAAUAAAUUUAUUUUUUCUUUCUUUCUAAAUAAAAAAAAAUCUUUUAUGUAUCCCCAUGAAUCAGAUAAUACUAUCUUAAUUCCAUUGUUUAUAAAUAAAUAGCUUUUAAUUUCAUAAAAAAAAUAGAAGCUUAGAAAAAUUCUGUCGGCAGGCCGAGCUGAGCCUGCCGAGCCCGAGCUGAGCCGAGCCAAGCCGAGCUGGCAGCUCAUAUUUUUCAUGAUAUAUAGAUACUCUGAAUUAGUAUCUUAGAUUAUACGGACAUGCAACUCAUUUUUGCAUGUUUCAAUUAUUUUAUAAAAUGGCCGGCAAUGAUCGAAAUUGGAUGGACAACCGACUAGAUGAGAAAAAUCAAAUUACCGAUUCAUUUCUCAAUGGUGUCGAGCAGUUUCUAAACUUUGCAUUCUCAGAGUCAAUUAUGACUCGUGAAGAUGGAAAAAUUAAAUGUCCUUAUAGUAUUUGUUGUUGUUUAAAUAAGGAAGUUAGAGAUAUAAUGACAGUUCAUCUUUGCAAGUUCUGUUUUAUGAGUGAUUACAGUAAUUGGGACAGACAUGGAGAUGUUAUUGUAUGUCUUUUAUGUGUUAAAUUUAUUUGAUUAUUUUAAAAAUAACUCAACAAUUUUUUCUGUGUAGAAAUUCUUUAAUUUGAUGACGAAGACCGUGCUCGGAAUGCAUUCAAUCAGUACCUAACUAUUAAUUAUCCUAAAUGGUUUACCAAAGCGAGAAAGGAUGCAAAGAAGAGUGCUGGUGUCUCUGAACUUGAUGAGAUUUGCAAAAAUUUCCUUUCAACAUACAUUACAAAUUAAAGAAAAAUGGGGAUUAAUGAUGGAUAAGUUUUUGGCACCAGAGUUCAUAGAAAAAUCAAAAAAGAAUUCAGAAAAUCGAAAUAAAAACGAAGAUUAUUUGGUGUACAAGGGUGGAUCGGCUUCUUUUGAAGCCAACUGUCAUGCAUUAGUAAGUUUAAAUAUUAAAUUCAUUUCGAUUUAAAUAUUUUAUGAAUAUUUUGAACUAAUUUUUAUCGUAUAAAGUAUAAAAUUAGGUCGAAGACCUUCAUUUCAAGAGGCAUUCUUGUCAACUCAUACGCCAUUAAAUGAUAGAGGAAAAACUAUGAUGGUGAGUAAUCAUUUAUUAAUAUUUCAUAAUAUAUUUAUACUUUUUUAAUUGUUUCAUAUUUGAUUUUGGUAAAGGCCGAAUAUGAAGAUUUGAAUGAAGAGCUUUGAAGACAAGAAGAUAGUGAUUCUGAUUCUGAUGAAGAUAGCGAAGACGAAAAUUUAUCGUCUCAAGGUUCAACUUUAUUUCAUAAUAAGCCUUUGUUUAGAAACGAUCAUAUUGGACCUUGGCUCAAAGCAUCUAAAGGAAAGAAAAAUGACCGCAUUUUGGGAUUUAGAGUUGGCAGUGAAUCAUUGUUAUCAAAUAAAAAGAGAAGGAAAAUGAGCAAUGAGAAAACUGAUAAGCAUAACAAUGAAGAGUUUGAAUUGACAGUUUCCAAAGCCGUUGGCAAAGGAAUGGAAGCGUUAGAAAUAAAAAACGAAAAACGUUUUCAAAUGAUGGAACAACGAUUAUUUGAACAUAUUCAUGUGAGUUUAAUAAAUGUUUUUAAAUAAGUUUCUCAAUUAAUUAUUUUUUGAAUAUCUUCAUUUAUUUUCAUGCUAAGUCUACAAGAAACGACCCCAAUCGUCCAUCAUCUAGUAAUGUUUUUGUUGAUCCUGCUUCAUCUGAGUUGAACCAAAUUAUUCAUUUAUCGAGAAAUUAUUGGGAAAAAGAUAAUACUAUCAAAUCGAUACCUCGACAAAAGGGUAAGACUUUAGAUAUUUCUAAUAUUGUUUAACAAAAAAAAUUGUAGAACACUUUUAACUCUAAUCAAAAUAUCAAUUUCAUAACAUAUGAAUGUUGAAUCAAUAUGAUUUCCUUUUUUGGUUAAUCUAAUUUGAUUUAUAGUAAAUGUGUGUGAUUGAAUGUGUGUGAUUGAAUGUAUGUGAUUGAAUGUAUAUUAUUUUCAGGUAUGAAUUGAGAUAUGUAAGGUUCUAAAUGAGCACCCAUUUAAAUUAAACUAUUUUUUUAUUGUAUAAUUUUUAGCGACGAUUUAGCGAUGAUUAAAAGACGAUUAGUUGAGACAAAAAACAUUAAAAUUUAAUACAAGCGACGAUUUAGCAACGAUGUAGCGAUGAUAUUUUUCAAAUAUUAACGACGAUGUAGCGAUGAUAUCUUUCAAAUAUUAGCGACGAUUCAACGACGAUGAAGCAUCGUGGAAGCUAAUUUUUAGCGUCGAUGACCAAUAUCGAUGCUAAUUUUUUAGCGAGGCGACCUACAGCGAAGCUUUAGCGUCGAUAAAAAAUCGUCGCUGAAAGCAAUUUAGCGACGAUCAAAGAAUCUUGUAGUGUACAUUCUUCCCAACGAAAAACCCCUAGCAAUUUUUUCCCGCCGACCUUCUCUGCAUUCGUCGUUCGUUGAGUGCAUUCGCCGGCAAGCUUUCCCGACGACCUUCUCUGUAUUCGUCGUUCGUUGUGUGCUUUCCCGCUGACCUUGUCUGCAUUUGUCUUUCGUUGUGUGCAUUGGCCGGUAAGCUUUCACGUGGACCGUCUAUGUAUUCCGUCUCUCCACCGACCAGCAUUACGCCGACUUUCGCCGUGGUUCUUUACCUCGAUUUCUCGGUAAGCAUAUCCAUCGUUCUUAAUAUUUUUACAUUAAAAAUCCCUUCUUCUGUUAUUGUACUGAUUAUAUUUCCGCCGACCCGCCCGUAGACAUUUCUUAGCAUCGAACGCAUAGCAGACCUGUUCUUCUAAACUGCUCAUUUUCGCACAAAUAUUGGUAAGCAGCACUUUACAAAUGAGUAACCGUUCUUAAAUGUAGUUUAAUCCGUAUAUUUAAAUCCGUCAGUUAUAGACAAUGAGUAACUGUUCUUAUAACGAUAACUCCAAUUGAACCUAUAUAAAAUGGUAGUUUCAUCACUCCAUUUUGUUUUGUGAAUCAUUGUUCUCGGGAAAAAACAAGGUAUUCUCUGUUUCUAUGUAUCUAUGUUUCUAAUUCUUGUUUUCUAUGUUUUCGUUUUCUUUAAAGAACACUGACAGAAUCAUUUUCACUAUUUUUUUUCGUUCAUGAUUUGUUCGUUUUAUUCUAUAUGUUUGUUCUGUUUGAUUUGUUUAUUUUUAUUCUUCUUCUGUUUUCUAAUGACAAUAGUUAUUUGAUUUAUUUCAUAUUUGAAAAUUAUUUCUUCAAGAACAGUGAUUUCUUCUGUAUCUUUAAAUUUAUUUUAGGUUAUGGUAAUGUGAUGUUAUUUUCUGCUAAAAUUAUUUGUACUAGUCUUCUAAUACAAUUUUUUUUCCUGUCUUUAUGUGUUUUAUUCAAUGCAGUCCAGAUAGUGUCUCCUGAUAAAGAAAAGACACUGAAAUCAAAGAUACUCGAUAUACUGAUAAUAUUGGUAUGAUUAAUAAUAUAGUUUUUAAUUUAAUAUGUUUCCAUCUACUGCUAAAAUAAUUAUUAUUUCUUGUAAUUUGUUUCGAUCUACUGCUAAAAAAGAAUGUGUUCCGAUAAAUUUUUUUGUAGUCCUGAUAAUGUCUUCUGGUAAGGAGGAAGAAAUCAAAGAUAAUCAAUCCACAGGUAAUAUGUGUUUGAUUAAAAUUUUAGUUCUCGAAUUAUUUGUUUUGCGUGUGAAUAGUUUAGUCCUCAUAAUUUUGCGCAAUAUUCUUUAAAAAUGCAGUGCGAGAUGUCAAGCGCGCAAAUUUCGUCGUCGAGAGUUUAAUUGAAGACAUUGACUGUAGUCUGUCAAAAUCAGAAAGGGAAUCUUUUUCGGAUGUCGAUCAGUUCAUUCUUUCUAAGAGAAAGGGGAGUAAAAGUACCUUUUUCUAGUUUUAAUUAUGUUUUAGUUGGUUGCUAACGUUGAACAUCGGAAUAUUUUUUAGGUCCAAUUCGAGAGAAAUCUCCCAAGAAAUAUAAAGAAAUGGACUAGACUACACACUAAGGAAGUUGAUGGCAGAGGAUCAGAAGAGACUAAACGCCAAGAAGUGCGGUGGUCUUGUCGUGAAGUCCCCUCCAAGGAUGAAAAAGAACGCAGGCUGUGAGGAAAAAGAAAGUAAUUAAGGUAGUUAAAAAAAUUGUUGAGGAAGAAGAACAUGCUAAAACUCAAACUGACUCCCGCAAGAAAAAGGAAGCUUCUGCUAAGAGGAAGAAAGGUACAUCUUAUGCUAAAAAGUUUUGUUUGUUUGAUAAAAUCUCUUCAUCCUCUGAUGAAAGACCACAAGUAUGGAAAAAAAGAAGGAAAGGACUACAACUGACUCAAGCAGAGAAAAUGAAGCCUCUGCUAAGAAGAAGAAAUGUUCAAGGUCUGCUAAAAAGCUUCCUGUUUCUGAUAAAAUGACUUCAUCUUCUAAUGAAAGACCACAAGUGAGGAAGAAGAAGAAGAAAGAAAGGACUGCCAAGUGCGAGCCAGAGAAGACGAACAGUUAAGAACUAUUUACUUUAAAAUUAACAUAUUAUGAGUUAUGAAUUGUUAAUUUAUUUUAAUUUUUAAUUUAUAGUUAACCACUUAAUUCGUCAUCGAUCUGGAAUACCAACUUACUACGAGACUGCACAGACCGGAUGUAUACAGUUCACCGAUAAUGUCACCAAAAGAAUAAAGUUUUGCUGUUUUGGUCAAUUAUAUGCUAUCCCUGAUUUCAAAAUCAGGGCUCGUCUCCUAGACGAUCUAAUAGGCAGGUAUGUUGGUAAAAACAUUUUUGUUAUUAACGGUCGAAGACUAGAGUUUUCUGUGAAAGAGUUUGGUGAAAUCCUUGGCAUUCCAUCAUGCGGCCUUGCCGUGAUAAUGAAGAAGAAGGCCAAGAGUACUUCUGAUUGGUCCCUAAGGCAUUUUAGUUCGGAUUGCGACAUUAGAAGAGAUGUGGUGGUCCAGGCCAUUACAGCAAUCAACAAGAAGGCUACGAGUGAAUCCUUGUCAAAGACCGAUGAGGAUGAUUUGAUAAGACUUUGGACUAUUUAUUUGUUUAUUACAGUACUAUGUUGCAAAAACAGUUACCGUAUUUGUCGAAAUUUUUUGGAUUAUGUUUCAAACAUAGGAUAUAUUGCCGAGUAUAACUGUGCGGAAUUCCUACAUGGUAUGUUGUUUGAACAUAUGGGCAAGUGCAGGGACAGUGUGCUCCACCAAAAAUGGACAAAUGAGCCAUCGAAAUUGUACAUAGAUGGCUGUGUGAUGUGUCUAAUGGUAUAUAUUGAAAAAAAAUCUGCUUUUGCAUAAAGUUAAUAUAGGUUAUUAGAAUAGCAUGGUCUGAGAAAUUUUUUCUUUACAGGUCUGGUUAUUCAAAAUUACGAUGAUGGCCUCGCCAUACAAGUCGUAUAUCGACAACGAACCCUAUUACAAGAAGUGAGGGGGUCAAAUUGUUUACUUGAAAGAGAAGCUUGUCCUUCUCGAAGAUGACGAGGUAAAUAAUUGUAAUCAAAUUUGCUUCUUAAAAAUUUAAUAUUUUGAUACUCCCCUAAUAAGAAACUAAUGUAGCUAUAUUUUUGUCAUCAAUAAACCCUUUGGUGAAUUUCUUAAUAAUUUUUUCAUUUUAUAUAUUCUUCAUGUCUUAGGUUUUUGUAGACGGUAUUUCUUUUGAGAAGAGAAUGAAUCUGACAGAGCAAAGACAAAAAUCAGAUGGUUUCUCAAGAACUGGUUCAGGUUCAUCAACAAGUACAAGUAAUCAUGGGACUGGAUCUGAGUCAAAAUCCGUGGAAGAGGAAAUGAGGUCAGUAGAGAGCGACCUCGACGAAUCUGCUAAAAGAGGAGGUUGAAGGGAAAGGCAGUAAUGAUACAUGAAUCAAAGAAAAAGACAGUACCACAACAUUCUUCUGGGAAAAAGAACAUUGUAAAUUACACCGUAGCAGUAGGCUAUCUACCACCAGUGGAACCUCCUCUGGACUGUCUCCUGAUAGUAAGUAAAUCUAAUAAGUGAAUUUCAUUUUUUUUGUACAUUUUUUCUAAUUAUACAUUUCAGAUUUUGAGGGAAACAAUAUGAAAUUGUUUGAAAAAUAUAUUAUAGUUAUGAAGGUGAGCAACAAAACUUAAGCUAGUUGAAGAUCCAACAGAAGUUUCAUUAAAUCUGAAGAACAGUAUUGGAGCAGGGGAUAAGGUGAAGAGUGCUAAAUCAAGCCCAGCAAAAAAAGUCGGCGCUCAAGAUUUGCCUUUGACUGACAGUCCUGCUGAAGAUAGUCCUUUGUCUGAUAUAAGAGAAGAUAGUGCUGCUGAAGAAGCUGAUGGUUCUUUUAAAAUUUGUUCAGAGGUUCCAACUGCAGAACCCACUCGGGCCGUAGUCUCCACAACAGAGGACAAUCAGACUAAGUGCAAAAUGGUUGAAAAAUGUGAUGAUGAUGCAGUGGAAGAUGCUGGAAAAAAGUAUGAUACAAUCGUAGAUAAUACUUUCGUAUUCCCAACAUUCAAUCUAAACAUCAGCAAAGAAUGCCCGACUCCCAUACUCAAUGAAGAAGAUCGUGAGGUGACUUACGUCGGUUACAAUCCACCAUCCCGAGAAAAGGCUAAUGUUCAGGUGAAACAAGAGUUCUACGAAGCAUGGGAAAUAGAGAGAGGGUUGUUUCCCGGUAUGCUACAUGUAGGUGAAACUUCUGUAAAGCUCGACGGAACUGUUUUAGGUAUGAAAUAAUUUUAAAAAAAAUACUUAUAGUAAAUAAAACUGAAAAUUUUGUUUAAUCGAGAACUGUUAUUUCAGAUGAAAACCUAAACGCCGGAUACAAAGAUGAUGAGAAGAAUGUUGCGAAGAAGACUACUAGUCCAGUAGAAGUGAAGUCCGUUCAAGGUACGCGGCGCAAAGAUGACACGAAAUGCUAAUCAACCAAAAAAAGAUUAGAAAUUGAAAUGAGAACAAUAUGCAUGAAAAUUAUUUACCUGUCCGUUAAUUCAAUACUACACUCUGCUAGAAUAUUCUAAUAGUAUGCUAUUACAAUAAUUAUGUCCUAUAAUACAAUUCUUCAUCUAGAAAAAUGUGUUUGAAAUGCUUGGCAAAUGUUUGAAAUGCUUAAUUGUUAGGUGAGUGUAUGCUAGCUAAUCUGUUAAUGGAAUAGGUAUCAUUGCUAAAGUAAAUGAAGGUUCUGUUAUUUCAUCAACUGUAUCCUAUAAUUGUUAGUGGUCUAAUAUAGUCUGUUAACAGAAUAUGUCGGUAUGAUAAUGUACUACGUCGUACUGCUAAUUAUUGAACAGUGUCCUAUAAUUGUAUUAGAUGAACAAACCAACGAACAUGUUUAUAUUGUAAAUGUUUUUUUUUCAUCAAUACCUACGACACAAACUAUCUAACACGGACAUACACAUUUUUUUUCAGAUUCUUUAGUUACUGAUAAGAAAAUGAAAGGAAUAGUAUCCUCAGAUGAAAAUGAGAAAGAUGUGCUAGUUAUUCAAGGUAACGAUAAAUUGUACAAGUAUUGUGCUAUAUAUACGUAUAUAUACGUAUACGUAUGUACGUAUACAUAAAUAUACGUAUACGUAUGUACGUAUACGUAUGUACGUAUACAUAAGUAUACGUAUACGUAUGUACGUAUACGUAUGUACGUAUACAUAAGUAUACGUAUACGUAUACGUAUAUAAUAAAUAUAUAUAUACAUAUAUAUACAUAUAUAUAUUUAUUAUAUUAAUAAAUUUAGAAACUUAUUAUUUUUUAUAAUUUCAGCAAAUUUCCGAGAUAAAUACCGCGAAUCGAGCGAAUCAAAUGACACAUCACGCUGGUUCAAAAGGAUUAGCGCAAAGACGUCAUGAAUUGAUAAUUUAUUUAUAAUUUAUAUCUAAUUUUUUUAUAUAUUAAUGAAUUAUGUAAAUGUAGAUGCAACAAGGAAGGAGUGAAGUCGGAACUUGGUCAGAGACUUUACAGAUGACAUAUAAAGGAAGCGAUAAAGUUGUAAGUCUUUUUUUAAAAUUAUUUAUAUUUUAUAAUUUAUAUUAUCAUUGUUUGAUUUUGUUAUUCUUUCAGCUUGAAGCCACGGAAUUUAUCAAAAGUCAAGAGGCAAAAUCGUGGGCUGAAUCUGAAGCAAUGACUCCAUUUGUAAGUUCAAUUGAUUAUUUUAAACAUAUUUCGCAUUUCUUAUUUAUUUACUUUUUAUAAUACAGCAAUUUAUCGAAACGACGGUCAACAAAACUUUCGGAAAAAAUAAAAAGAAUAGAAUCAUAGGAAUUGGAGAAACUGCCAGUAUGGUGAGCACAACGAACGAAAGAUGGGCUUCUCCAAAUUGGAAAGGAAAAGAACCGAUCUCCGAAAAUACGACUACUGAUGCAACACCAGAUGCAGUUUGGUCGGAAAAAUUUAAAGAAUUGAAGGUAAUUUAAAUAUAUUACAAUAAUUUUGUUGAUUAUCGAACUCAUUUUUGUUUUCAUUUUCAGAACAAAUGUAACGAGAGUCAAAAAGACGUUUCCAAAUACAAGAAGAAGUUCAAUGCAAUGAAAUCUUAUAUGCAGAAACUCAAUAAGACUUUGAAGACUUCCGGACUCGACAUGACGCAUAUGGCUUCCACUUCAAAGUCCACCAUACCGUCUGUAUUCGAAUCAGAUAUUUCGGAUUCUGAUUCAGAAGACUCGAUUUCAGACGAGUGUUGAUUACAAAAUUUAUAUUUGCUUAUUCAAACUUCGAAUGUUUAACGAUUCUGUAAUUUAGUUUUUUUUUAAUAAAAAACAUCGAUUUCAAAUUCAAUUUAAAAAUCGUUUUCUGAAAUAUCGAUUUUUAUUUCAAAAAACAACGAUUCAAACGCAAAAUAUGGAAUCCUGUUUCAAAAAAAAAAUUAAACAAACAUUGUAUGGCGGAAAUCCGCCAUCUAUACUAUUAUACUAAAGUUUAGAUGGCGGAAAUCCGUCAUCUAAAUAUGGGCACAAUCGCCCUCUGCCACGAAUAGAUGGCGGAUAUCCGCCAUCUAUAAACUUAGGGAACCGUCUGCUGUACUUUAGAUGACGGAUUUCCACCAUCUAAUGUUACAAAGAUAGUCGGCGGACAUCCGUCAUCAAUAAAAUUAACUGCCAUCAAUGAAUUUGCGCCAAACUUUUUCCGCGCCAUAUUUUAGAUGGCGGAUUUUCCGCCAUCUAAAACUUUUCAGUUCCUGCGAAAAUUUUCCGCCAUCUAUACAAUUUUUGGUGGAAAAUGGAGAUGGAUAAUAGAUGGCGGUCUUUAGAUGGCGGUUAUGGGGUUUUAAUGACGGUGUCCAAGAUGGCGGUCUUUAGAUGGCGGAUUUCCGCCGACGAUCACUUUAGAUAGCGGAAAUCCGCCAUCUAAAGACCGCCAUACAAGGUCUUAUUUCUUGUAGUACUACCGCCCGCGGAACAUACACUGGAUCUAGCUGAAAUAGAGGUACAACAUGUAGAGGUACUGUUGCAGGUACAGCAGGAACUUGUGGGCGCACUUCCGGAACACGUACCGAAAAUGGAGGUCUACGCAGUAUCUGUUUUUCUCUCCUUCCCAUUAUGCUAUAUCAAGCAAUUUAUUUAAAUUAUACAUUCAAAAUAUUAACUAAACAAUAAUUAAGUAAUGCAUUUAAAAAAAUUAGAUUAAUAAACUAAAAUGAUAAUUGAAAUAAGAAAUCAGAAAUUACAUACUUCGAAUUUUGGUGAAUAAUAUUGAAGAUCGAGUUUAGUUUAUAUCGGCUUCUUUAGCACCAACACCUGUGAGUUUGGAAUAAACUAUAUCAAAUUACAGUUUGAAUUAAUUAUUUCAAUUUUUAAAAAAAAUUUCAUGACCUAUUUGCUUUUAAUGAUAAUCGAAACACAUAUAACAUAAAAUUAAACCUGCAAAUAAACAUAUAUAUAUACAACAUACAAAUGAAGAUGAAUACAAACGACAAUCCUUAAAAUUUUACCAUAUAAUGGAAGCAUACUGAGAUACAAAUUUCUCGCGGAGAAAUUUAAACAGCAAAUACUAUAAAACGAGAAGUUCAUGAAAUUUAAAUUUCAAUUAGUUCUUACGAGAUCUCAUUGAGAAAAACAGAAGAAAUACAUGUGCUCAAGAGGGAAAAAUUUAUAUAGAAAGAGGGAAAGCUUCUUAUGAUAUUUCAAGAUUGGAAGAUUUUAUUUCAAAUAAAAUAAAAUCAAGGUUUAUUUUAUCUGAAUUUUGUCCUGUAGUGUAUAGUUUGUCAUCAACACGAUAUUUCCAUCUCUAAAAAAAUAUUAAAUAAGAGAUUAAAUCUAGAACCGUCGAUUCAACCAAUGAAAAAUACCUUGAUGCAAUUCAAUUGAGAUUUUUUAAUAUGAAGAUUAUACUAAUGAAAUCAAACAUUACAUGAAACAUCAUGUAUUCAUGUUUGUUUGUCAGUGGAAAUGUGAAUAAGUCUGAAUAAUGAUUAAGAAAAUAUUUAUUCGAACAUGAAACUUUAGUGAUAUCAGCAGUGUAACUGGUAACUGUACUACUUGGUAUCUACUGUGACUCAAAUGACACUAUUUUUUUCCCCUUUGAAUACUUUACAGUUUACAUUCAAAAUAUGUUUGCAUAUGUAUAUAUGGACCAAAAAACACCAAGUGUACUUUAAUAUAUACUACAGCCUAGAAUGAAUGAGAAGUUCAAAUCUUAAAAAACACUGUUCUAGUAUUAAUGUGCAUUUUCUUCAACCUUCUACAAUCCUAAUUCUCCAAAUAAUUAUNNNNNNNNNNNNNNNNNNNNNNNNNNNNNNNNNNNNNNNNNNNNNNNNNNNNNNNNNNNNNNNNNNNNNNNNNNNNNNNNNNNNNNNNNNNNNNNNNNNNAAAACAUAGAAAUACAGAAAAGCAAUGUUCAUCGUCAACCAACAUCUUAAGAAGUAUAAUUCAAUUUAAAAAAAUCACACGUCUUGAAAUCAAAUUAGAAUACGAUAUUUUGUGUUUUUUGUUAAUUUAUUUUAAAUCCACAUCCCUAAUCGUGAGAUCAAACACCCAGAAUGACAAAAUACCAAAUCAUUGAUCCAACACAACACUGCAUCGAAGAAUCUCGAUCCAAAAUAAACAAAUUAACAAAACAUUUGAGCUACCUGUUCGAACUCUCACCAGAGGAAAAUCGCUGCUGCCACCAGAGGAACUCCUCGCCGCAUCGCUGAAGGGUUGGGAAAUCACCGGAGGAACGUCGCUGGAGGGUUGGGAAAUCACCGGUGGAAUGUCGUUGGUUGGGAAAUCGCGAUGUGGGAUUUUAGGAGGGUUUAAUUUAGGGGUUUGGGUUUAACAAUGGG